GCCAUAGUGGCGUAGUGGUUUGAGUGUUGGACUACAACUCUGGAGACCAGGGUUCAAAUCCUCAUUUGGCC